UACGUAGGGCGCAAGCGUUGUCCGGAAUUAUUGGGCGUAAAGAGCUCGUAGGCGGCCUGUUGCGUCCGCUGUGAAAUCCCGGGGCUCAACCCCGGGCCUGCAGUGGAUACGGGCUGGCUAGAGGCAGGCAGGGGAGAACGGAAUUCCUGGUGUAGCGGUGAAAUGCGCAGAUAUCAGGAGGAACACCGGUGGCGAAGGCGGGUCUCUGGGCCGAUACUGACGCUGAGAAGCGAAAGCGUGGGGAGCGAACAGG
rnacentral:rRNA from 1 species